rnacentral:rRNA from 1 species
UCCUUUAUCACCGAGUGCUUGCACUCACCGAUACCGAUUUGAGUGGCGAACGGGUGAGUAACACGUGGGCAACCUGCCCAAAAGAGGGGGAUAACACUUGGAAACAGGUGCUAAUACCGCAUAACCAUAGUUACCGCAUGGUAACUAUGUAAAAGGUGGCUAUGCUACCGCUUUUGGAUGGGCCCGCGGCGCAUUAGCUAGUUGGUGGGGUAAAGGCUUACCAAGGCAAUGAUGCGUAGCCGAACUGAGAGGUUGAUCGGCCACAUUGGGACUGAGACACGGCCCAAACUCCUACGGGAGGCAGCAGUAGGGAAUCUUCCACAAUGGGCGAAAGCCUGAUGGAGCAACGCCGCGUGGGUGAAGAAGGUCUUCGGAUCGUAAAACCCUGUUGUUAGAGAAGAAAGUGCGUGAGAGUAACUGUUCACGUUUCGACGGUAUCUAACCAGAAAGCCACGGCUAACUACGUGCCAGCAGCCGCGGUAAUACGUAGGUGGCAAGCGUUAUCCGGAUUUAUUGGGCGUAAAGGGAACGCAGGCGGUCUUUUAAGUCUGAUGUGAAAGCCUUCGGCUUAACCGGAGUAGUGCAUUGGAAACUGGGAGACUUGAGUGCAGAAGAGGAGAGUGGAACUCCAUGUGUAGCGGUGAAAUGCGCAUAUAUAUGGAAGAACACCAGUGGCGAAAGCGGCUCUCUGGUCUGUAACUGACGCUGAGGUUCGAAAGCGUGGGU